GGAGGGUGCAGCUCAGUGGUAGAGUGUGUGCUUGGCAUGCACGAGGUCCUGGGUUCAAUCCCUAGGACCUCCA
rnacentral:tRNA from 1 species